rnacentral:rRNA from 1 species
CAUAGCCGCCAGGGAACUACAAGCCCAAUCUUGAAACCCAAAGGAUUUGACGGUGCCCCACCCCCCUAGAGGAGCCUGUUUUUUAAUCGACACCCCCCGAUACACCUUACCACUUCUAGCCUGCUCAGUCUGUAUACCUCCGUCGCAAGCUCACCAUGUGAACGCACUARUGGGCCUAAAGACUCACCGUCAACACGUCAGGUCAAGGUGCAGCUCACGAAGUGGCAAACARUGGGCUACAAUUUCUAUAAAGAACACACGAAAAACUGCAUGCAACACAGUCAUGAAGGCGGAUUUAGUAGKAAAAAGAAAAUAGAGAGUUCUUUUUAAUUUAUGGCACUGGAGCGCGU